rnacentral:rRNA from 1 species
AUGGCGUCGAGAUGCGCGGCGAGGCUUCCACACCCGCCGUGCGCGGCGCCGCACCACGGUUGGGCGAGCUCGCGGGUCUCGGCACGCCCGGCGCAAUCCGGCGCGUCAAGAGGGCGUGCCGUCGUGUGCGCCGUCAGCUUCAGGCCAUGUAUCGACAUUCACAAGGGGAAAGUUAAACAGAUUGUUGGCUCUACUCUCCGGGAUGCAUCGGACGAUGGCACGGCACUAGUGACAAACUUUGAAUCAGACAAGUCUCCAGCAGAAUUUGCAAAUAUUUAUAAAGAGGAUGGACUUGUUGGUGGACAUGUAAUAAUGCUUGGCGGAGACCCUGCAAGCCGUUCUGCUGCCCUGGAAGCACUACAUGCAUAUCCUGGUGGUUUGCAAGUUGGAGGUGGAAUAAAUUUGGAGAAUGCAAUGUCAUACCUUAAUGAAGGAGCAAGUCACGUGAUUGUAACUUCUUAUGUGUUUAGUGAUGGCAAAAUGAACAUUGAAAGGCUGACGCAACUUGUCGAGCUUGUUGGGAAAGAAAGGCUUAUUUUGGACCUGAGUUGUCGAAAAAAGGAUGGCAGAUAUGCCAUUGUGACUGACAGAUGGCAGAAGUUCAGUGAUGUCUUUGUGGAUGGGCCAACAUUAGAACGUCUUGCUGCAUAUGCAGAUGAGUUUUUGGUUCAUGGAGUUGAUGUGGAGGGCAAAAGGUUAGGAAUUGAUGAGGAACUCGUGGAGCUACUGGGAAGUCAUUCACCUAUCCCGACAACAUACGCCGGGGGCGUGUCAACGAUGGACGACCUGGAGAGGAUCAAGAAAGCAGGCAAGAGCCGAGUCGAUGUCACUGUCGGGAGCGCCCUAGACAUAUUUGGGGGAGAUUUGCCGUACGAUGAUGUUGUCCGUUGGCACAAGGAGCAAAACCUGGUUAGCAAACGGUGA